GAUGAACGCUGGUGGCGUGCCUAAUACAUGCAAGUCGAGCGAACAGACGAGGAGCUUGCUCCUCUGACGUUAGCGGCGGACGGGUGAGUAACACGUGGAUAACCUACCUAUAAGACUGGGAUAACUUCGGGAAACCGGAGCUAAUACCGGAUAAUAUAUUGAACCGCAUGGUUCAAUAGUGAAAGACGGUUUUGCUGUCACUUAUAGAUGGAUCCGCGCCGCAUUAGCUAGUUGGUAAGGUAACGGCUUACCAAGGCAACGAUGCGUAGCCGACCUGAGAGGGUGAUCGGCCACACUGGAACUGAGACACGGUCCAGACUCCUACGGGAGGCAGCAGUAGGGAAUCUUCCGCAAUGGGCGAAAGCUUGACGGAGCAACGCCGCGUGAGUGAUGAAGGUCUUCGGUUCGUAAAACUCUGUUAUUAGGGAAGAACAAAUGUGUAAGUAACUAUGCACGUCUUGACGGUACCUAAUCAGAAAGCCACGGCUAACUACGUG
rnacentral:rRNA from 1 species